GAUGAAGAACGUAGCGAAAUGCGAUAAGUAAUGUGAAUUGCAGAAUUCAGUGAAUCAUCGAAUCUUUGAACGCACAUUGCGCCCCCUGGUAUUCUGGCGGGCAUGCCUGUUCGAGCGUCAUUACAACCCUCAGGCCCCCGGGCCUGGCGUUGGGGAUCGGCGGAAGCCCCCUGCGGGCACAACGCCGUCCCCCAAAUACAGUGGCGGUCCCGCCGCAGCUUCCAUUGCGUAGUAGCUAACACCUCGCAACUGGAGAGCGGCGCGGCCACGCCGUAAAACACCCAACUUCUGAAUGUUGACCUCGAAUCAGGUAGGAAUACCCGCUGAACUUAAGCAUAUCAAUAAGCGGAGGA
rnacentral:misc_RNA from 1 species